GGUGAACGUUGGCGGCGCGUCUAAUACAUGCAAGUCGAGCGAUCCCGCAAGGGAUAGCGGCGGACGGCUGAGUAACACGUAGGUAACCUGCCCUCGAGUGGUGGAUAACCUUCCGAAAGGAGGGCUAAUACAGCAUGAGCCCACGGCGUCGAAAGACGCAGGGGGAAAAGCCGGCCUCUUCAUGAAAGCUGGCGCUCGAGGAUGGGCCUGCGGCCCAUCAGCUAGUUGGUGAGGUAAUGGCUCACCAAGACAAAGACGGGUAGCUGGUCUGAGAGGAUGAUCAGCCACACUGGAACUGAGACACGGUCCAGACUCCUACGGGAGGCAGCAGUGGGGAAUCUUGCGCAAUGGGCGAAAGCCUGACGCAGCGACGCCGCGUGAGUGAUGAAGGCCUUCGGGUUGUAAAGCUCUGUGGAGGGGGACGAAUAAGGGUUGGUGAACAUCCAGCUCGAUGACGGUACCCCUUUAGCAAGCACCGGCUAACUCUGUGCCAGCCGCCGCGGUAA
rnacentral:rRNA from 1 species